rnacentral:rRNA from 1 species
UAGGGAAUAUUGCUUAAUGGGCGAAAGCCUGAAGCAGCAACGCCGCGUGUGCGAUGAAGGCCUUCGGGUUGUAAAGCACUUUUUGAGGGGAUGAGGAAGGACAGUACCCUCAGAAUAAGCCUCGGCUAACUACGUGCCAGCAGCCGCGGUAACACGUAGGAGGCGAGCGUUAUCCGGAUUUACUGGGUGUAAAGCGCGUGCAGGCGGUUCAGAAAGUUGGAUGUGAAAGCUCCUGGCUUAACUGGGAGAGGUCGUUCAAUACUUCUGGACUCGAGAAUGGGAGAGGGAGGUGGAAUUCCGGGUGUAGUGGUGAAAUGCGUAGAUAUCCGGAGGAACACCAGUGGCGAAAGCGGCCUCCUGGCCCAUUUCUGACGCUCAGACGCGAAAGCUAGGGUAGCAAACGG